GUGAAAAAGUAGUUAAAUUUUUUUGCGGAAGAUUUUUUUUUUAUAUAUGUAUAAAAAAAGUUAAAAAAAAUUAAUAUAUUUUAAAUUAAAAAAAAUUAAAAUAUUUAGAAGAAAACUUAAUAAUUAUUUGAUUAAUAAACAUUAAAUAUUAAUUGUGAAUAAGCAAAGAAAAGAAUUCAUUACGAAACAAGACUGCAGAUAUAUUAUUUUGCAAAUACAGGAACAGUUACUUAGAAGAAGAUGAUGCAAUACCAGAAUCUGAUAUAAUUGACAUAGAAUGUGAAGAACUCUAAGUGAAAUUCGAAGCGAUUUGUCUUCUAUCAUAUAUGUAUAUUUCACGUAGAAAAUGCGUGGUAUAGCAAAGAAACAGGUAAAAAAUCAACAGGUAAAAAAUUAACAGGUAAAUUUCCUUACAGAUUGUACAAAAAAAGAAGAACCUCCUUGAGUUAAAAUUAAAUCUGAUUAUUGUGUUUAAGUUUAUAUAAAAAUGUAGAAGCAGAAAUAAAUGGUACAGUAGAAUGUAAAAUCUGAACUAUAAAAAACUUUUAUUACAGAGACAGAAGCACGAGAAAUAAAAGCUUGGCUAAAAUACAAUUCAGGUGAUAUAUCAAUUAUUAAAAAAUGGGAAUGAUCUGUUUCGUAUAAAAAAAAGAUUUUUUAAAUUGUGAGAAUAUUCGUGAAAUAAUAAAUGAACGGCCGAUGUUAAAAACUUGCAAAGGAUUGAAGCUGGAAAAAAAAUAAAAAUAUUUGAAUCACAAAUAGACUUUACUCUCUUUUUAUAGAAAACUAUAGAUUUCCAUUAUUUUUGGACAGAAGGCGACAAAAAGUUUUAUUUAAAUUGGGGAAUUUUCAUGAAAAUAUAUCACUCAAAUAUAAGAAGGAGUUAGAAACGAGAAGCUACACAAGGGACACAACAAAAUCAACAAAGGAUGCUUAUUUAAUAUACCUGAUACAUUAUGUAUUGAAACCGAAAGUUAUAAGAAGUUCUAAGCUAAUAAGAAAGGCUUCAAUAGACGACUCGGUCAAUUCAUUUUUUAAAUUUAUAAAUGAACAACCAAAUGCACAUGUUAUUAGUAAAGAAAUGAUUCAGCCUUGCAUUCUAUGCUUAGGAAAGGAUGUCUGGGAUUCAUCUAAAUAAUAUGUUUGUAUAUAUAACAUAAUAUAUGAAGUUGAAAACUUUGUGAAAGCGCCAAACAUUUUAUUCAAAUCGUUUUAUAUAUUCAACAUUGACUAUCCGAAUUAUUGCUGAAAUAUGUGGAUAUUUAUUGAAACCUUUUUUUUUGGAGUAGACAUUGGUCGUGAUAAAAAAAAUCCAAAUAUAG